GUUCUCACUUCAGCAGCACAUAUACUAAAAUUGGAAUGAUACAGAGAAGAGUACCAUGGCGCCUGCACGAGGGUGACACACGAGUUCGUGAAGUGUCCCAUAUUUUA